UUCGUGCCUCUCCUCCCCCUCUCCACAUCCUCUCCAAAAACUUCCUCCACCAUUGUUCUUGCUUCAAUUGGAGUGGAUUUUUCAAAAAUUUCCGGUGAAUCGUGUCAACGUUUGUUUCUACCGUUUGUUUUCUUGAUUCAAGAAGGGUGAUUGUGUAUUCGUGAACUCGAGGAACGAGAGUUGCCAUAAGUUGGAUUGUGAAUUGUUAAGCGAACGAGGUUGAGCGGCGACGAGCAUUUGGUGGUGUUGAGCAAUUAAAAUUGAAGUAUUAUUUGGUUAUCUUUGAACUACGAGUGUCGUUGUGUCUCCACACAUGACGCCACUCUUUCUCUUGAACGCUUCCGCUGAGACAUUGUUUUUACUCAUCGUUUAUUUAGCUUUAAACCUAAUUAAUUGGAUAUUUGAAAACUUGAUAUCUUUUGGAUAAUGUCAAACCGUUGGUCGUUUUUUUAAAUAUUAAUUAUUGGUCAAACUCUUUA